CGGUUCAGAAGGAAUGCACACCACCCUGUCCCUGGACAGCUGCACAGUACAAGCCAGGACGGACGUCAUCAGCAUCAGGACCACCAGGUUUCAGGUUCCUAGAAAGGCAGUUUUACGCCACCAUCAGGGUAACAAGAAGCCCCUAACCCCCCAAACUCAGGAGAGGCAGAAACCCACCGAACCCACCAGCUCGUCUUGGCUCCCUGCACUCCUCUCGUCUGCUCUUUCAGACAACCCAUGGGAGAAGGUUCCAAGCCCCCCACCACAUGAACCACAGUGCUCUGCCAUGCCUGUGUUUGUGCACAUCAAGGGGGAGCUCAGCACGACUCUACGCUGCUCAGAUCAGAACUGCAAUGAGAUGCAUGCAAAAAAUACAGCCAUACUGAAAGGGGAAAAAAAGUGUUGGUUUCAGUUCAUAUGUGGUCUCUGAAGAUAGCAUUCAAUCUGAGGACAGAUUCAAGCUUUGCUACUUGAAAUUUAUUGGUGAAAAUGCACGCACUUCAGAAAGUCUACGGUGCGAAUAAAAUAGUCUGAAAAUGUUUUCCUCCACUUUGACCUAUAUAGCUUCAACAGGGCAAAUUGUGACGCGUAGGACCAGUUUCAUAUCGGUAUUUUUAUGUCAUCAUGGCAUCAAUCUUUUAAAAGUGGUACUUUCAAGUUGUCAGGAAAUGUGCACUGUCAUCUGUGACUUUGAGAGAUGGGGUGAAAUUGAAAACAGGGUUAUCUAGAGUUUAUGAGUUGUGGAAUCAUUGGUACUUUCUUGAAGUGAAUAAGAAAGGACAAGUUAUCUUUUCCAAACUAGCUCAUAGUAAAUGGAAAUCUUUGUCACUCAAACUCAUGAUUAAAAGCAAUGAAGAGCGGUGAAACGGAGAGGAAAAUUCUGCAUUGGGUCUGGGCAACACAUUUGGUAAUCCAAUUCUGGACCAAACAGCUCUAGAUUGGUACGAUCUUUUAGUCUUCAAAGUCAGAUCUCUGAUCUGGGACACUUGAGUUGAGCUGCUGUGCUGCAAAACAGGCAGAUAACAGGGUAGUUCUCCAUUGUAUGCAUACAAACAGAGCAGAGUCACGUUCACAAACAGAGAAACGAUGCUAUUGCGAUACAAGCUGUUGAUAUGGAGUUUCUAUCAGCAACUUUUUACUGCUUUUCUAAUGCUUGCCCUCCAUAUUGAGCUAUGGUUGCUCUGACACCUCUGACUUGUGAGCAACACAGACUGACAAGCAGCCUAACGUCUCAGAAAGUAAGACAGUGAGUACGUUGGGCUGAGGUGUGCUGAAAAAGACGGCUUUAUUUCUGAACAUCUGUGGGUAGUUUUAGUGAGAAGCAUGAGUGCUUCUGGAUAGCACAGGUUUAAGGGUCAAGGGUCACCUGCUGGCCAGAUACUGAUUAGUUAAAACAUAUCUCAACGCCCUUUACCAAAAUAUAAUUCUGAUUUCACAUGCUCUUGUUGUGUUUCCAUCUAGAAAUCCUAAAAAUCUGCCUUUCAAGUCCAUGUAAAGCACACAAGAUGAAGGUGUAUUGUUUGUUCUUCCUGUGGAAGAGCUUUGGUGAAGACUGUUAAAAAUAUAUAAUGUUAAAAAAUAUUAGUAUAUUUAAUCUUUUGAGUUUCCAGUUGAAAAUUCAACAAGACCUUUGCCUGUCUAUAUUGACUUAAUGAUGAUUUUCAGGUCAAAAUUUGACUUUUAAACAUCUAGCGUUAGCUAUGUAGCAUGUAGGCUAACAGUAUCUUAAGUUAACAAAUUUGUUUACUUAAAUUCUGUAGCACAACACGGUCAUAUUAAUAUUUUUAUACAGCAUAAUUUUACCAUCUUACAUUUACCAUUUUUUAUCCUGUGGAAGAGGUGAAGAACUGGCAUUGCUGAAAGGUUUACCUAUGACGAAUGAAGGGGCUACUUCUGAUUGCUGCUUUAACCCAAUAAAUUAGAUUAAAUGUUUUUACCCAA